AUGGCUCAGAUUGAACGCUGGCGGCAGGCCUAACACAUGCAAGUCGAACGGUAGCAGGAUGUGCUUGCACAUCGCUGACGAGUGGCGGACGGGUGAGUAAUGCUUGGGAACUUGCCUUUGCGAGGGGGAUAACAGUUGGAAACGACUGCUAAUACCGCAUAAUGUCUACGGACCAAACGGGGCUUUUAGCUCCGGCGCAGAGAGAGGCCCAAGUGAGAUUAGCUAGUUGGUAGGGUAACGGCUUACCAAGGCAACGAUCUCUAGCUGUUCUGAGAGGAAGAUCAGCCACACUGGGACUGAGACACGGCCCAGACUCCUAC
rnacentral:rRNA from 1 species